CCUACGGGUGGCAUCAGUGGGGGAUAUUGGACAAUGGGGGGAACCCUGAUCCAGCGACGCCGCGUGAGUGAAGAAGUAUCUCGGUAUGUAAAGCUCUAUCAGCAGGGAAGAAGAAAUGACGGUACCUGAGUAAGAAGCCCCGGCUAACUACGUGCCAGCAGCUGCGGUAAUACGUAGGGGGCCAGCGUUAUCCGGAAUUACUGGGUGUAAAGGGAGCGUAGACGGUGAUGUAAGGCUGGAGUGAAAGGCGGGGGCUAAACCCCCGGACUGCGGUGGAAACUGUACGGCUGGAGUGAGGGAGAGGUAAGUGGAAUGCGAGGUGUAGCGGGGAAAGGCGUAGAUAGUGGGGGGAACGCC
rnacentral:rRNA from 1 species